GGCGGAACGCCACGGCGAGUCCGCUGUACUGCCCUCCGUCGCCGGAUGUAUCCCUGCUGCGGCAGCCUCAUUUGGUCAUCCCCGAAUAUCUUCCUAGGCUUUUGAUGUCGUGGAUGGUAAAUGAGCAAAACAUACCAACUCAUUAUGUCCCAGAUUUAAGGCAUCCCUGUUUAGUGACUCCAUCCUGAUUCAGCUGGCUACAACACUUGAUCUGGCUGGAUGUCCACUAGAUUGUGGCUGCAGUGUGAAUUGUUUUCUUUCUUUUUUGGCUGUGAAUUCAUGCGUGGUUUGAUGGUAUGCCAUCUUCUCUGGACACAAUAGUUAAAAGCCCAUGGAAACAAAGCCAAGUGGUCAGUGGAAGUACUUUCUUGGAAGAAACAAAUGAAUCAUAGUUAUUUGCUUUCCGAAUCUGUUUAUUCUUCCAUCUUCUUGAUGUAAAGCAUCAUGAUUUUUUUAGAA